AUGGAUGACUCUGCCUCGCAAGAUCCAGCCACUGAUGCUAAUCCGCCGGAAGCUGACCCGGCUAUGCAUAUUGAUCCAUCAAGCCCGCAUGCUACGCCUCCAAGGCCAGCUGCUGAUCCGCUGAGCCCAGCUGCUAAUCCGCCAAGCCCAGCUGCUAAUCUGCCGAGCCCAGCCAGGGAUACCGUCAAUCCGCCAAGUCCGUCAAAAGGUGGCGAUGAUGAUGUUAUUAUCACUAGUAUAGCUCACACCGCCCCAGGCAAUCCAGUUGCCUUAUCAAAGCACACUGCUAAGCAAGAAUUUGUUGCUAUGGGCAAGGGGAUAGAAAAGACAGAUUUAUCCAGCUAUGUCAACUUUUCUACCGAAGAGCUUCAUUCCGGUUUCUUACAUCGCCUCUACACUAGCCGAGACUAUGAAGCCGGUUUGGUGAAUAUGAUGAAAGAGCACUAUGAGGUAAAUCUCCACACACUUUAA
rnacentral:rRNA from 1 species